GAGUUUGAUCCUGGCUCAGGACUAACGCUGGCGGCGUGCCUAACACAUGCAAGUCGAACGAGUUGUUUACAUGUAGCAAUAUGCGUAAACGGCAAGUGGCGAACGGGUGAGUAACACGUAGAUAAUCUGCCUUUCAGACGUGGACAACUCAGGGAAACUUGUGCUAAUACCCGAUGAGACUACGGGAGGGGACUUCUGUAGCCAAAGGUGGGGGUAACCUCACGCUGGAAGAUGAGUCUGCGUCCUAUCAGCUAGUUGGUGGUGUAAAAGCCUACCAAGGCGAAGACGGGUAGCCGGCCUGAGAGGGUGAACGGCCACACUGGGACUGAGACACGGCCCAGACUCCUACGGGAGGCAGCAGUGAGGAAUUUUCCGCAAUGGGCGCAAGCCUGACGGAGCGACGCCUCGUGAGGGAUGACGGCCUUCGGGUUGUAAACCUCUUUUAUAAGGGAAAAAGGUUGGCAUGCUAAUACCAUGUCAAUUUGAUGGUACCUUUUGAAUAAGCCCCGGCUAACUACGUGCCAGCAGCCGCGGUAAUACGUAGGGGGCGAGCGUUGUCCGGAGUUACUGGGCGUAAAGAGCGUGUAGGCGGUUGAAAAAGUCAGGUGUGAAAUUCUUCGGCUCAACCGGGGAACUGCGCCUGAAACUUUUCGACUGGAGUUUGGGAGGGGCAACCGGAAUUCCUGGUGUAACGGUGAAAUGUGUAGAUAUCAGGAGGAACACCCGUGGCUAAGGCGGGUUGCUGGACCAAAACUGACGCUGAGACGCGAAAGCGUGGGUAGCAAACAGGAUUAGAUACCCUGGUAGUCCACGCUGUAAACGAUGAGUGCUAGGUGUAGGGGGUAUCGACUCCCUCUGUGCCGCAGCUAACGCAUUAAGCACUCCGCCUGGGGGAGUACGGCCGCAAGGUUAAAACUCAAAGGAAUUGACGGAAG
rnacentral:rRNA from 1 species